rnacentral:rRNA from 1 species
AACGAACGCUGGCGGCAUGCCUAACACAUGCAAGUCGAACGAGACCUUCGGGUCUAGUGGCGCACGGGUGUGUCACGCGUGGGAACCUGCACUUAGGUUCGGAAUAACUCCCCGAAAGGGGUGCUAAUACCGGAUAAUGUCUUCGGACCAAUGAUUUAUCGCCUUUGGUUGGGCCCGCGUUGGAUUAGAUAGUUGGUAGGGUAAUAGCCUACCAAGGCGACAAUCCAUAGCUGGUCUGAGAGGAUGAUCAGCCACACUGGGACUGAGACACGGCCCAGACUCCUACGGGAGGCAGCAGUGGGUAAUAUUGGACAAUGGGCGAAAGCCUGAUCCAGCAAUGCCGCGUGAGUGAUGAAGGCCUUAGGGUUGUAAAGCUCUUUUACCCGGGAUGAUAAUGACAGUACCGGGAGAAUAAGCUCCGGCUAACUCCGUG